GGGUCCAGCUGGAAACAAAGAGGCUUGGUGAACAGAGGCCCAGCCCGCCAAUGAAUACGGCCCGACUCUUUCCAGAGAGCCAGAGGACCAGAUGCCGAGCAGUCCUGGGAGCUCAGGGCCCCGCUGCUUCCAGGCCUUUGCUGUCUGGGGCCUGAGCUCACCCAGGGCUGGUUUCCUGCGGCCCCGGCUUGGAGACACUGAGUAACACGCGUGGGACUGGCAGGUCUGCCCCGUGCCUGGACCACCCCAGGCGGUGUCCCUAGUAACCACGUGCACAGCCUCUCACGGAGCUAGGGAAGAGAAGACACCGAGUGUGGUCCCCGCUCAUCAGCAAACCAUCGGGGUGACCCACAGCCCUGGCGCCCACCCCCUGUGGCUCUCAGGCGGCCAGCCCCAGCCUGGUGGGGUGGACGUGGACUGACAAGUGUCCUUCCCCCAGCGACUCGCCUCCUCUUGGACAGCCACUCCUUAAUGGCCCACGUGCUGCUGUCCGAGCUCCAUACAUGGGCUCUGCAACCCACACUUCGGGGUGGGGGGGCAGGCCUUCCCAGGGAACCUCUGCUCGCUGCAGGAGAAAUCCGGCUUCCCCUUGUGACCUCCUGGUUUACUGCCAUGAUGAAAUCUGCUCUCUUGAGCCCUAGUGUGGCCUUCUCUCUCUCCACUGCUCUGCUGAUCCCAACCAGUCUCCAGCACCACUAAAAUUAAGGGAUGGGGCCAGC